rnacentral:rRNA from 1 species
AACGAACGCUGGCGGCAUGCCUAACACAUGCAAGUCGAACGAGACCUUCGGGUCUAGUGGCGCACGGGUGCGUAACGCGUGGGAACCUGCCCUUAGGUUCGGAAUAACUCCCCGAAAGGGGUGCUAAUACCGGAUAAUGUCUUCGGACCAAAGAUUUAUCGCCUUUGGAUGGGCCCGCGUUGGAUUAGCUAGUUGGUAGGGUAAAAGCCUAUCAAGGCGACGAUCCAUAGCUGGUCAGAGAGGAUGAUCAGCCACACUGGGACUGGGCCACGGCCCAGACUCUUGCGGGAGGCAGGAGAGGGGAAUGUAGGACAGCGGGCGAAAUGAAGAAGCAGCAAGGCUGGGAAAGUGAUGAAGGCGUGAGGGAAGUAAAGCUCUUUUACCCGGGAUGAUAAUGACGGUACCGGCAGAAUAAGCACCGGCUAACUCCGU